GACGAAGGAUCCAAGCGUUAUCCGGAUUCAUUGGGUUUAAAGGGAGCGUAGGCGGGUUUAUAAGUCAGUGGUGAAAGCCGAUCGCUUAACGAUCGAAUUGCCAUUGAUACUGUAGACCUAGAGUACAGAUGAUGUUGGCGGAAUAUGACAUGUAGCGGUGAAAUGCAUAGAUAUGUCAUAGAACACCGAUUGCGAAGGCAGCUGACAAAACUGUAACUGACGCUGAGGCUCGAAAGUGCGGGGAUCAAACAGG
rnacentral:rRNA from 1 species